GCAAUAGAGAGAGAGAGAUAGUAAUAGAGAUAGAAGAAUUGUAAUAGAGAGAGGGGGAUAGUAAUGGAGAGCGAGGGAUAGUAAUAGAGAGAGUGGGAUAGUAAUUGAGAGAGAGGGACAGUAAUAGAGAGAGGGGGGAUAGUAAUAGAGAGAGAUGGAUAGUAAUAGACAUAGGGAUGGAGAUAGUAACAGAGAGUGGGGGGGGGUAAUAAUAGAGAGACGUAGAAUCGUAAUAGGGAGAGAGAGAUAGUAAUAGAGAGAGAGAGAUAGAUAGUAAUAGAGAGAGCGAGAGAGAGGGGGAUAGUAAUAGAGAGAGUGGGGAUAGUAACAGAGAGAGGGAUAGUAAUAGAGACAUAGUUAGAGAUAGAAAUAGAGAGAGAUGGAUAGUAACAGAGAGAAAGGAUAGUAAUAGAGAGAGAGUUAGAGAUAGUAACAGUAAUUGAGAGAGAGGACGAUAGUAACAGAGACA
ensembl:lncRNA